UACAAUGAAAAUAAUUCCUAAAUUAUAUCUUCCCAUACUGUAUUACCAAGCUACACAAUAAGUGCUAUAGAGUUUAAAAACCAAAACUAACGGUGAAGAAGUUAUAGGGUUUCUCCACCAAUCAAAUGGAAAAGGGAUAAUGCAAAAACAAACUUAAAACUUAACCAAGGAGCUGUGGUACCACUAACAUUCAACACACAUAUUUCAAAAUCUAUCUCAUUUAUUUGGAAUGUCCAACCCCAUAGAAACAUGCACUUACCGAGAAUCAGACAUCCAGAAGAGACCUUACUCAAUAAUUACAGUAAGCCUUCAGCACUACCAAAUAAAGAACUUACGAUACCAAAGAGGAAAAUUUUAUUUAGUUCAGCCCACACACCGCAGCCAACCUUCAUGAACUCUCAAAAUAAAGAAUAUAGGAGACUAACAUAAGAAGCUAAUUGUGCUGAAAUUAUGCUUUGUUUGCAUGCAUUACCUUCUCCCAUGCUAG
rnacentral:misc_RNA from 1 species